GAGUUUGAUCAUGGCUCAGAGCGAACGCUGGCGGCAGGCCUAACACAUGCAAGUCGAACGGAUCCUUCGGGAUUAGUGGCGGACGGGUGAGUAACACGUGGGAACGUGCCUUUUGGUUCGGAACAACUCAGGGAAACUUGAGCUAAUACCGGAUGUGCCCUUCGGGGGAAAGAUUUAUCGCCAUUAGAGCGGCCCGCGUCUGAUUAGCUAGUUGGUGAGGUAAAGGCUCACCAAGGCGACGAUCAGUAGCUGGUCUGAGAGGAUGAUCAGCCACAUUGGGACUGAGACACGGCCCAAACUCCUACGGGAGGCAGCAGUGGGGAAUCUUGCGCAAUGGGCGAAAGCCUGACGCAGCCAUGCCGCGUGAAUGAUGAAGGUCUUAGGAUUGUAAAAUUCUUUCAGCAGGGACGAUAAUGACGGUACCUGCAGAAGAAGCCCCGGCUAACUUCGUGCCAGCAGCCGCGGUAAUACG
rnacentral:rRNA from 1 species